rnacentral:rRNA from 1 species
GACGAACGCUGGCGGCGUGCCUAGUACAUGCAAGUAGAACGCUGAAGACUUUAGCUUGCUAAAGUUGGAAGAGUUGCGAACGGGUGAGUAACGCGUAGGUAACCUGCCUACUAGCGGGGGAUAACUAUUGGAAACGAUAGCUAAUACCGCAUAACAGCAUUUAACCCAUGUUAGAUGCUUGAAAGGAGCAAUUGCUUCACUAGUAGAUGGACCUGCGUUGUAUUAGAGAGUUGGUGAGGUAACGGCUCACCAAGGCGACGAUACAUAGCCGACCUGAGAGGGUGAUCGGCCACACUGGGACUGAGACACGGACCAGACUCCUACGGGAGGCAGCAGUAGGGAAUCUUCGGCAAUGGGGGCAACCCUGACCGAGCAACGCCGCGUGAGUGAAGAAGGCUUUCGGAUCGUAAAGCUCUGUUGUAAGAGAAGAACGUGUGUGAGAGUGGAAAGUUCACACAGUGACGGUAACUUACCAGAAAGGGACGGCUAACUACGUGCCAGCCGCCGCCGUAAAAC